GUGCUUGGCUGCUUGCAGCUUUGCCUUCUCCCCGCUUUCCUCUGUUUUCUUCCGGACCGGAGGGCGGAGGCGGGGAGAGCGAGAGAGACGAAGCGCGCAACUGCGCAAGACCCACGCCGUCGUAGCCUCGCGGAGUCGUUGGGUAGGAGAUUAAGUAAGUAGAAAUGCACAGUUGGAGCCCUAUUGCAGGCUACAAACAUUACCAUUGAAGGAAAGUCAAUCAGCUAGGAGUUAAAAACAUAUCAGGCAUAUCUCCUGCGGCAAUGAGGUCCACAAGGAAGUUCCUGAACUGCCCGCUAGCAGAUGACAAUAAUGACUGCUGAUUCGGAUACAGGUCAUGAGGUUUAUCCAUUGGUAAAUGUAUUUUCAUUUGUGACUUCUAGAAGGUUUGUACAAAGUAUCAUCUGAUUCAGAUACACCAUACACGUGGUCUUACCAUUAUUCAUACCUUCUGUAGUGGAUAACGCAAUCAAAGUCAGAAUUUUAGCUUA